AGUCUGCAUAGAAGUGCAGAAGUAGUUGGAAUGCUUAUUUUAUCACCAAGUUUGUAUGAUAAAAUAUGCUACAAACCACUUUUUUUUCUUAAGGUUCCAAGAGAGUACAAUCGAUAAGAUGCAUAUUUUCUGCCUUAUACAACAGAUCACACCCAGCUGCACAGCUUUUCUCAGGGGAUUUCAGCUACUGUCUGCCCAAAUAUUCUUCUUCAUGCACUGGAGAAAUGCUUCUUCUUUGCUUCCCCAGAGCAACAGACAGAGAUUUAUGAAAGUAAGUGAAGAUAGAAGUAUCUGCACGAUCAUGAAGCAGCAUGUGGAAUACAAACAUAGGAAAGAGACAAGAAGAGAAGCAAAGAUCUGGAUAAUGGUAAAGCAACACAUAUGGAAAGUCAGCUUGAGAAGAACAAUCACGUAUGCCAAAAAUAAUUCACUAGCUACAUUUAGUUAGAAGAUCUGGGGAGCAAACUUAAGUGUCCUAAACAACUGAUGUAGGUUAGCCAGAGUGUCUAACAGCCCCAGGGUCACAUAUAGCUGCUCUAACUGCCAGCAGUGUCUGUGUGGAACAGGGAGCUUUCCAAGUUCUGGCCAGUGCUGGCUCUGUAGAGAAGACUGCCUGUUCUUUUCCCUUUCUUAUGAAAUGCAUACUGCAGUGCAAAGCCAUGUCAGAAAUAUCUGAGCUAGUUUAUCUGCACAGCAAGUGCUAUGACAUGCAAAAUUGCCUUUUUAUGUUCCAGAAGCAAACCCAUAAUGUUAACCAGCUUCUGUAUGUGAACAUAUUUCCAUAUCACCAAUUUCUUUUUGUGUAAUUUUAAAUAAUUCUUUCAUCUACGUAUGUAGAAAGGGUGCUGAAACAGGCUCAUGAGGUGUCCUUACUGUCUUGGGCAUUUUUGGCAGAAGAAGUUUCUUCUGACUUUGUUAUUAAGGUAGUUUGCUGUUGGCAUUGUUCUCCCACUGGAAGCUCCCAGGUUUGUCUUGCACCAUCAAACCUGGAAGCCAACACUGGGAAAAAUAAUGAAAUAGGAUAAAUUUAUGACCAGUUUCAUCCAGUGUUGUUGGGAUUUCACUCUGGAUUGCUAUGUUAGACAUCAUUCCAUUUACUUGGGUCAAUAUCCAUGUAUCAGUGUCAAUUCAGUUCAGUACUGCUCUUUUUUCUAGAAUUGUGAGAUGAGGUCCCACUUUUUUCGAAGAGCACACAUUAUAUCUGAGCCUGUUUAUUUGUAAAGCUGCCUACAAGUUUUCCCUUGUGGAGAGGAGUACUGGGAACUGUUCCUUCAAGUGGCACAGUUUUCCUGGAGGAUCACCUUUUCAGAAUGCUGGUUUUCUUGGCUCUAGUUUUCAGAUGCAUUCUUUUCCUCUGACCAAAAAAACACAGCAUAUGACCAGCGUUUUGACAGGUAUCAUGCUAAAACUAACCAAGUCCUCUGCACUUUCACUGAAUACAUGUAGUC
rnacentral:lncRNA from 14 species